rnacentral:rRNA from 1 species
GGGCCCGCACAAGCGGAGGAACAUGUGGUUUAAUUCGAUGAUACGCGAGGAACCUUACCCGGGCUUAAAUUGCAACAGAAUAUAUUGGAAACAGUAUAGCCGUAAGGCUGUUGUGAAGGUGCUGCAUGGUUGUCGUCAGCUCGUGCCGUGAGGUGUCGGCUUAAGUGCCAUAACGAGCGCAACCCUUAUCUUUAGUUACUAACAGGUCAUGCUGAGGACUCUAGAGAGACUGCCGUCGUAAGAUGUGAGGAAGGUGGGGAUGACGUCAAAUCAGCACGGCCCUUACGUCCGGGGCUACACACGUGUUACAAUGGGGGGUACAGAAGGCAGCUACACGGCGACGUGAUGCUAAUCCCAAAAACCUCUCUCAGUUCGGAUCGAAGUCUGCAACCCGACUUCGUGAAGCUGGAUUCGCUAGUAAUCGCGCAUCAGCCAUGGCGCGGUGAAUACGUUCCCGGGCCUU